rnacentral:rRNA from 1 species
CAGUAGCCGCGGUAAUACGAGGGGUGCAAGCGUUAAUCGGAAUUACUGGGCGUAAAGCGUGCGUAGGCGGUGAGUUAAGUCUGCUGUGAAAUCCCCGGGAUCAACCUGGGAAUGGCAGUGGAUACUGGCUCGCUAGAGUGGUAGAGGAUAGUGGAAUUUCCGGUGUAGCAGUGAAAUGCGUAGAGAUCGGAAGGAACAUCUGUGGCGAAGGCGGCCAUCUGGGACAACACUGACGCUGAGGCACGAAAGCGUGGGGAGCAAACAGGAUUAGAUACCCGAGUAGUCCCUGUCUCUUAUACAC